GAGCUUUUCAGUGCUGCUCGGCCACACGGCCAUGUAACAAGGCGAGGGGACCCAAAUUAGGCGGCGAAAUUACAGACAAACGGGUGGAAAUUUUGCCUGUUUUUCUUGGCAGUGGCUUCUACACCGGAGCGUGCUGGCUCAGCUCGUAAUUUGCUGCUCGCCAGAAGGAAAGAUGACAGGGCUGCUACCCCGAAGGGAUAUGUUAAGCUGGUGAAGAGUCUUUGCCUUCACACUUUCCCUGGUUGCCAUCUGUGGCGGAAUCAUGAAAAGCCAAAGAAAACGCAGUGUGAACUCAUUCUACCUGCAACAGAUGACGGCCUUGCAGGACAAGGCGAGGUCCAGGAAGUACUGU